rnacentral:lncRNA from 1 species
AGCCGACCCACAGAUAAAGGGUCAAGAAAAAGCAGGAAGGGAGAGAGAGGGCGGGAAGGAUCUAUGAACCAUAGAGAAAGAGACAAUCUACAUUGGCUGGAUUUACCGUGUACGAGCUGGACUGUUUUGGACUUACCUGUUGGCGUUUAGACCUGGACCUACCGAGAACUAGAUUUGUGUACCGAACCCUGCUAUCCUUGACCUUACCUGCGGCCUGGGUGGACCAGGACAGAGAAACAAACACACAGGCUAGUUCCUAACACGUUCAGCAGAUCACAGCAAGACUGACUCUGCCUCCAGGAGACGCAGAGCCAGAUGGCAAAAAGCUCUCUUUAUCUCUGACAGGAGCGUCUGAGUGAGCAUCAGGGACAGUCUUCAACCCAUCUCUCCCACAACUGACGCCUCCACAGAUAAUUGCGUUUGAAGAACCUCCCUUGCUUAAGGGGGACCUAUUAUAUCUCCAUCGCCAUGUGACACGCUGCAACACACUUCAUUUACAGUGCCUUCAGAAAGUAUUCAUAACCCUUAAAUUAUUCCACAUUUUGUUGUGUUACAGCCUGAUUUAAAAAUGUAUUACAUAUCUUUUUUUACUCACCCAUCUACACACAAUACCUCAUAAUGAUCAAGUGAAAACAGGUUUUCAGAAAUGUUUGCAAACUUAUUGAAAAUUAAAUACUGAAAUAUCUAAUUUCCCUAAGUUUUCACUCAAUACAUGUUAAAUACAUGUACAUGUUAAAAUCACCUUUGGCAGCAAUUACAGCUGUGAGUCUUUCUGGUUAAGUCUUUAAGUGCUUUGCACUACUGGAUUGUUCAAUAUCUGCACAUUACUGUUUUUAAAACUCUUAAAACUCUGUCAAGUUGGUUGUUUAUCAUUGCUACAGUAGAUACAGUAGCCAUUUUCAAGUAUUGCCAUAGAUUUGAGCCAAUUUAAGUAAAAACUGUAACUAGGCCACUCAGGAACAUUCAAUGUCAUCUUGGUAAGCAACUCCAGUGUAUAUUUGGCCUUGUGUUUUGUCCUUCUGUAAGGUGAAUUUGUCUCACAGUGUCUGCUGGAAAGCAGACUGAACCAGGUUUUCCUCUUGGAUUUUGCCUGUACUUAGCUCUAUUCCAUUUCUUUUUAAAACACUUUUAAAAACUCUCUAGUCCUUGCUGAUGACAAGCAUACCCAUAACAUGAUGCAGCCACCACCAUGCUUGAAAAUAUGGAGAGUGGUACUCAAUGAUGUAUUGUGUUGGAUUUGCCCCAAACAUAACAAGUUGUAUUCAGGACAAAAAGUACAUUUCUUUGCCACUUUUUUUGCAGUAUUGCGUUAGUGCCUUCUUGCAAACAGGAUGAAUGUUUUUGAAUAUUUUUAUUCUGCACACUCUUCAUUCUUUUCACUCUGUCAUUUAUGUUAGUAUUGUGGAGUAAUUACAGUGUUGCUGAUCCAUUGUUUUCUUCGAUCACAGCCAUUAAACUCUGUAACAAUUUUAAGAUCACCAUUGGCUUCAUCGUGAAAUCCCUGAGCAGUUUUGAUCCUCUCCGGCAACUGAGUUAGGAAUGACAAAGGGGUUGAAUACUUACUGACUUAAGACAUUUCAGCUUUCCAUUUUUAAUGAAUUUCUUUAAAAAACUCUAAAACAUAAUUCCACUUUGACCUUGUGUGUAGGCCAGUAACACAAAAUCUAAAUGUAAUUUAUUUUGAAAUCAGGUUGUAACAACAAAAUUUGGAUAAAGUCAAGGGGUAUGAAUACUUUCUGAAGACAUUAACAUAACUGUGAACAUGGUUAUUUCUCCCUAUCGGCAGUCAGAAUGAGGAGUUAGGAGGGUGGGAUCAUGCUAAAUGCAGAGGUGGGGGUGAAGGAUGGGAUUAGGGCAUGCUAGAUGCAGACAUGGGCGUGGAGGGUAGCAUUACGGC